rnacentral:tRNA from 1 species
GAAAAUGAAAAUUUUAGAGCUGCUAACUCUAAAAAUUGCUCGUUGUAACAUUUUCU